rnacentral:rRNA from 1 species
GGGCCUACGGGGCGCAGCAGUGGGGGAUAUUGGACAAUGGGGGAAACCCUGAUCCAGCGAUGCCGCGUGAGGGAAGAAGGUUUUCGGAUUGUAAACCUCUGUGGAGGGGGACGAUAAUGACGGUACCCCUUUAGGAAGCCACGGCUAACUACGUGCCAGCAGCCGCGGUAAUACGUAGGGGGCAAGCGUUAUCCGGAUUUACUGGGUGUAAAGGGAGCGUAGACGGACUUGCAAGUCUGAUGUGAAAAUCCGGGGCCCAACCCCGGAACUGCAUUGGAAACUGUAUAUCUAGAGUGUCGGAGAGG